UACAGAGGUCUCAAGCGUUGUUCGGAUUCAUUGGGCGUAAAGGGUGCGUAGGUGGCGCCGUAAGUCAGGUGUGAAAUUUCGGAGCUUAACUCCGAAACUGCAUUUGAUACUGCGGUGCUUGAGGACUGGAGAGGAGACUUGGAAUUUACGGUGUAGCAGUGAAUGCGUAGAGAUCGUAAGGAAGACCAGUGGCGAAGGCGGGUCUCUGGACAGUUCCUGACACUGAGGCACGGAAGGCCAGGGGAGCAAACGGG
rnacentral:rRNA from 1 species